rnacentral:lncRNA from 1 species
AGUUACUAAUACUCCGAGAAGUUUGCAGAUAAUGCAGGUCUGCCUACAAACCUGAAGCAAGACCUAAUUACAUACAGAAUCGGUCCCAGUGCGAUUUACCCCAUUUCUUCUGCUUCGUUACAUCUGCCAGAUAAUCUAAUAUUAGGGAUACAAUUUCCAGCACUCUGAUGUUUCCCUUUUCAUGUUGAUUAUAGCAGUGAAGAUUUUGUGGGGAGGAUGAUAUUGUGUUUAUUAGAAAGAUCAUUCCCAUUUUUCUGCUUUAAUUCAGCAGAUUUAGUUGCUAUGUACAUAACAUUGUCAAAAGCUUUUCACUGGGUCCAAUAGCCCACAUAAAAGUAAUCAUCACUUUCACUGUGUCCUACCUGAUUUUUCUAAAUAAUGUUGCCUCACAUGAACAGGUAUUGUAGUAUUAGGUAUCAGACUUGAAUCUUUUCCAUAUUUUAAGUAACAUUGUUCCAUUUAAAUUAAAAUAAAUAAAUAAAUAAAUCCAAAACGAAACAGUCCAAACCAACAACAACUAAAAAUCAUAAAAUUGAAAGAGGAGACAACGUUAAACUUUUGUUAUGGGUGGGAACAUGGAUGUAUUUUUGGCAAUACUUAUAAUUAUUGAUGAAAGUUUAUAUACUUUUUGUUGGUUAUACAAGAACAUUACAGCAAUCACUCCACUGUACAUUCCCCUGUGGAAGAGAGAGCAGCCAAACAAAGCUGAUAACAGAAGUACUGUUAUUAGCAUUUCCAGCUUGACAAUUAUCCAUCAGGUAACUUCUUGCCAUUGAGAAGCUUCGGUUCUCAAGGAGGUACCAAGUGAUAGAAUUCUUCCUAGUCUGAGCUUAAUAAUGACAUUGAUCAAAAUGCUAAUUUAUGUAGAUUCAUCAGGACAUGAUGAUUAUGGUGAUAAGGCCUCAUGAUUGUAACUUCCAGAGUAAAUGUACUGAAAUGAUAAAUGCAUAUAUCACAGUUGAAAGAAAUGGCUUCAGCAUUGCAGUUAAUGUUUCAUACAGCCGAACUUCAUUAAGCACAACUCAGCUAAUGACAUCACGGAUUUGUUUCAUUUUAUUAAAUUGCAUUAAUUGGGAAAAUGCAUUGAAAGCUGACUGUGAAGAAAUUUGCUUUUCCCUGGAAUAACCAAAAAAAAAAGAAAAAGGGGGGGGGGGCUAAUUGGAUUAAUUUGUCCCUUCUCCCUCUAUUAACUAAGAGCAUGAUGAUUCUUUCUCAACUUUAUGUUGUGAAAUACUUUGUGUAUAACAUGAUUCUCAUUAACCAAGUUAAUUGUAGGGGUUUUAAGUGAGAACACUCGCAGGCUGGACCACUGCCAGUUCCAUUCCAAUAGCAUUAAAUGCCAUCUCCCCGGAGACACAUGCCUUUGUUAAAGGCCUGUGUUACCAUUAUUAUUUAUGUUAAAAGAAGCAAUCAACAAGAUCUUGCCAUGGUUCCUUAAACUAUUCAUGCCUGAUCCAUUGUAUCAAACUGCAAUGUUUGUUACAAAAUUGUUGUCUUCUGAGUUCUGAUUGUGAUAAUGAGGCUUUGCGGGAUACAUGUGAUUCAUAGCGAUGCCUCUGAGCUCUUAAAAACAUUGUUGUGCUGCAUUUAAUUAUAGGAACAGAUUCUACAAACAGUUGAAAAUCACAUAAUUUGCAUGUAAUUAUGAGUAUUAUGUAGAUUGGAAAGGGAUAGGUGGCUUUAAUUAUGCAGAAAGUGCAGGUCUCUCUAGUUUUAACCUUCCAUUGUCAAGGAUUCCUAGAAAUUAGAAGUUUACAUUCACAUUAAAAAUCAGCUUAAAAAUCCUUCUGGGAAGGAACUGCUAUUGCAUUUUUCUGUGUAAUGUGUCAAAGAUGCUCUCUUGUUUUUGGGCAGUGCUUACCAGUAAAUUAAUGGUAAAGUUAUUAUGCUGAAGACAAAAAAUAAACUAAUAGUAUGCAGUAAUACCUACUACUAAGUGAUAAUUUCUAUUUAAUUAAAAAUAAACCAACAGUAACUUUUUCAGACAUCAAAGUU